CAGUAGCCACAGUAAUACGUAGGUCCCGAGCGUUGUCCGGAUUUAUUGGGCGUAAAGGGAGCGCAGGCGGUUCAGUAAGCCUGAAGUUAAAGGCAUUGGCUCAACCAAUGUAUGCUUUGGAAACCGUUAGACUUGAGUGCAGAAGGGGAGAGUGGAAUUCCAUGUGUAGCGGUGAAAUGCGUAGAUAUAUGGAGGAACACCGGUGGCGAAAGCGGCUCUCUGGUCUGUCACUGACGCUGAGGCUCGAAAGCGUGGGUAGCGAACAGGAUUAGAUACCCCGGUAGUCCCUGUCUCUUAUACA
rnacentral:rRNA from 1 species